GUCUACAGUCAUGUCACUCUGAACAAGCCCGAUUCCGUCUGAUCUCAGAAGCUAAGCAGGGUCAGACCUGGUUAGUACUCGGAUGGGAGACCACCUAGGAAGACCAGGUUCUGUAGGCA
rnacentral:rRNA from 1 species